UGUAGUUCAGAGGUAGAGCACUUGCCUAGCAUGCAUGAGACCCUGGGUUCAAUUCUUAGUA
rnacentral:tRNA from 1 species